rnacentral:rRNA from 1 species
AUUGAACGCUGGCGGCAUGCUUUACACAUGCAAGUCGGACGCGUGGCGAACGGGUGAGUAACAUAUCGGAACGUACUGAGUAAUGGGGUAUAACUAAUCGAAAGAUUAGCUAAUACCGCAUAUUAUUCGAUCGGCCGAUAUCUGAUUGGCUGGUUGGUGGUGUAUAGGCCUACCAAGGCGACGAUCCGUAGCGGGUCUGAGAGGAUGAUCCGCCACACGGGGAGUGAGACACGGCCCAGAAGCCUACGGGAGGCAGCAGUGGGGAAUGUUGGACAAGGGGCGCAAGCCUGAUCCAGCCAUGCCGCGUGUCUGAAGAAGGCCUUCGGGUUGUAAAGGACGUUUGUGAGGGAAUCGGUACCUGAAGAAUAAGCACCGGCUAACUACGUGCCAGCAGCCGCGGUAAUAC